rnacentral:tRNA from 2 species
CACCAUGCUAUUGGUUAGCAAACUGUCUUGAACACAGUUGUCGGGGUUCAAUUCCCCACAAGCAA